rnacentral:rRNA from 1 species
GACGAACGCUGGCGGCGUGCUUAACACAUGCAAGUCGAACGGAAAGGCCCUGCUUUUGUGGGGUGCUCGAGUGGCGAACGGGUGAGUAACACGUGAGUAACCUGCCCUUGACUUUGGGAUAACUUCAGGAAACUGGGGCUACUACCGGAUAGGAGCUCCUGCUGCAUGGUGGGGGUUGGAAAGUUUCGGCGGUUGGGGAUGGACUGGCGGCUUAUCAGCUUGCUGGUGGGGUAGUGGCUUACCAAGGCUUUGACGGGUAGCCGGCCUGAGAGGGUGACCGGGCACAUUGGGACUGAGAGACGGCCCAGAGUCCUACAGUAGGCAGCAGUGGGGAAUAUUGCACAAUGGGCGGAAGUCUGAUGCAGCAACGCCGCGGGCGGGAUGACGGCCUUCGGGGUGUAAACCGCUGUCGCCUGUGACGAAGCGGGAGUGACGGUAAUGGGUAAAGAAGCACCGGCUAACUACGUG